rnacentral:rRNA from 1 species
GACGAACCGUGCGAACGUUGUUCGGAAUCACUGGGCUUAAAGGGCGCGUAGGCGGACUGCCAAGUCCGGGGUGAAAUCCUCCGGCUUAACCGGAGAAUUGCCUGGGAUACUGGCGGUCUUGAGGGAGGUAGGGGCACGCGGAACUUCCGGUGGAGCGGUGAAAUGCGUUGAUAUCGGAAGGAACGCCGGUGGCGAAAGCGGCGUGCUGGCCCUCUUCUGACGCUGAGGCGCGAAAG